AGAUGAAGUAGAGGAAAACUUAUGUAAUCACUCAACGUUGAGAAAAAAAUUAUGGAAUCACCUUGAAAUUUGCAUUUCUAAAGAAAUGACUGGUCACCGUCAUGGAUAAGGCUGCAAAGGUUCUGGCGCUGGGGUUCUGAAACUGGUGGUGCUGCGGGUCUGCAGCUGGAUAUGUCUCGCCGGAGGGGUAACGUUACCGAGGGUCAUCGCUUUCGGCUUCAAAAAUUAUUAUCAAGAUGGCAAAAGACGAACAGCGCUUUGCAAGACAUGCAACGUUAAGAUCGCGGACAGCCAGACGACAACCUCCAAUUUCGUCCGCCAUUUGAAGAGCCAUUCUGCCCAUCAUCUCACUCCCUGCCUGAAUCUGAUGUGUGAUCAUUGCACCACAGCUAGUGCUAGGUUGGCUGUCUCCACCUUCAUUUGAUGAAAAAAAAGUACAUUUGUAUUACCUUAUUAAAUGUAUGCAUCAUCUUUCAUGUCAAAUUCUUACAUUUGAUCAAUAAAUUCAGUUAUAAUAAGACACUAUAGGGCUAUUACCCAUCAAAUAAAAAAAUGUGCACUGCAAUUACAACUGCAAUAAAUAAUGUUAUGAGAUUGAUGUUUUAAAUAAAUGUUUGAAUAUAAAAAAAAAGCAAUACUUAAACAUUAAACUAAACCGCCAAUAGGUGGCAGCAAGUGACCGUCUUAAUUAGUGAGUCAUUCAUACAAAAGAUUCGUUCAAAACGCUGAAUCAUUCAGUAACAAAACACCACGCUGCUGUAGCUUUCCUUUAGAACUAUUUUAGUCGGGGAAAUAGAACAAAAACAGUUAAUAUGGUUUGUGUCUAAAAUGUAAGUAACUUAAUAAUAAAUAUUAACUACGCUACUUGUUUAUUGAACAAUAAAUUCAAUGUAACAUUUUCAAUCGUGAUAAUAUUCAGCAAAACAGCUCCCUUAGUUGUGUUAUGUUAAACUAAAUCAUAUGUUAUAAAUAAAAAAAACAACAAUUAGAAUUUUUACCUCAGUACAUUUCUUCUGUGAGUUUUCUGUGUGCACUCAUUUGUUUUGAUUUCUCCACGAAUGUAACGUUAGACGGGCGCUACCGCUUACAUUUGCUAGCAGUUCAAUACUAAGUUAACGAAGAUUUUUUUUAUUGUUAUUAAUAUUAAUAAUAAUUUUAUUGAACGACGAAUUCAAAAAUGAUCACUGGUAAAGGUAGUAAUAUAAAAUAAUAAUAAUUAAAAAAAAAUAAAAACGCUGGCUGGCAGCAGGCCAACUUAGUCGCCAGGCCAACGGGAAUGUCCCGGCGCUCCCGAUGGCCAGUCCGGGCCUGCUGGACAUAAUUAUAAGACAUUAUUAUGAGAAUGGAUGUCUUAAUUAUGGGAAAUGUUCUCAUUAUUAUGAAAUACUAAGUCAUUAUGACAUAAUAAGUCAUAAUUAUGAGAUAGUAUCUUAUGAGAUCUAAAAUCAUAACUAUGAGCUACAACGUCAUUAUUAUUAGGCAUGACAUAUAUGACUUUCAAGUGUCGGAGGUGUGGUCAGGACAAAAACUUAAUCAUUUUAAGCCAUUUAACUUAAAGUUAUUCACACAUUCAAAUUGGUCUACAAAUUAGUAGAAUAUACUUACAUUUUAUAGUAAUGCAAUCAAACUUCAAUAAUUUAAGUACACUGUAAUUAAAUUGUUUAAUUGGAUAUUAAAUCUGGGCUUACAGUGUAGAAAAGACAAAUGAAAACCAGCACUAACACCUAAACAGAAGACAAUAAGGCUACAGUGGGCUAAAGAGAAGCAACCAUGGACUGUGUAUGAUUAGAUGAAAGUGGCGGUAUGAGUGGUGAUGGCGUAGUGGGCUGAAGCACAUAACUGUUAAUAAGAAGGUCGAUGGUUCGAUCCCCACAGCCACCACCACUGUGUCCUUGAGCAAGACACUUAACUCCAGGUUGCUUCUGGGGGAUUGUCCCUGUAAUAAGUGCACUGUAAGUCGCUUUGGAUAAAAGUGUCUGCCAAAUGCA